rnacentral:lncRNA from 1 species
UAUGAACAGUUUUGCCGAUCAUUUUAUCCCUAGGUAAUCGAUCCUUACAGUUCCUUCCUUCCACCGUUCCUUAUCCAGACCUUCUGUUUUUUUCCUCUGCUUCCCGAUCCUUCCACUCUUCCACACACAAAUCAAACUCAUAGGAGUUCCGACUUGUCGAUUCCUCUAUUAUACCAUCGAAGAGUGCAGUCGAUCGGUCGCUGAGUUCGCUUCUAUCGCUCCGCCAUAGCCGACGCCUUUGCUUUUUGUUUCAGUUUUCGCCGUAUCCAUCUUCUCCAUUUUCUUUCUUCUCUUCGUUUGUGUGCUUGCAAGUAAAAUCUUCGGUUUGUGUUUAGUUUUGUUUGGUUCGUUCGGUUCCUGCUGUUUUUUUUUUGCCCCCUAAGGCGGUGACGAAAGGAGUUCACUCCAAUAUUCCAAUGACGGAAGAGUCGGCACAGGUGGAGAAGCAACACAAGAAAACGCUGACAGAGGCCAACGCCACCGCCGUCGUUUUUUUACCUCGAUCACUACCACCAUCAGCCGACUCAUCUGGACCUUAGAUUAGGGCUUGAUGAAGACCAUCGCUCCCACCGGACUCACUCAAACGAGAAUGGAGGAAGAUUCCUUUCUGACCACCGCCUCAUCUGGACCUGAUAUUAGGGCUUGAUGAAGACGAUUGCAGACAAGAAUCACUGUUGGGUUAGUUUGAUUCCUUUCUCACCAGUCUCACCAGUGGAGAAGAACCUGUCGACAGACCUCUGACUUUGAUGGAUGUAAGUUUCCAUGUUAAUUUCAUUUAUUUUUUAUUCUUAAUCUCUAUGCAUAUGGUUGCCCAAAGCAAACCUGGUAGAUGUUAUGCUACACAAAUAUGGUUUGCGAUGUGGUUUUGAUUAUAGUUUACAGAUUUGUGUACUGAUUUUGCUUUAGUUAUUUAGGGUCUUGAUUUUGAUUUUCAGUAUUGGUCUUAUUCUCUUAUUUUUGGGUUUUGACUGAUUUAAAAAAAGUGUGGGUUUUGAUGUUGCUUCAUGAAUCAUCUUCUCCAUCACAAGUUGGCAAUAGCCCUAUGAGUAGGUAAUGAUGAAAACAUAUUUCAAUUUUCAG